CACAGUUCAUGACUCUUCUAAGACGGCUGUGUGCCACAUCUGCAGUUGAUGAAAUGGAGAGCAGAAGUGUGGCAGACACACAGAGGAGAGUGUGAGCGAGGCAGGCAGGCGCAGGCUGGGCCCGAGGAACUGUCUUGAAGACUGGCCUAAAAAUAGACACGCGCUCACACUCCUCCACCCUCCGCAUCCAACCUCAUAAAACCGGCCCGCCUGUCCUAUUAUGGAGUCAGCCUAUGGCAGACACUUCCUGCGUCCAAGUCGGGCGGUGGAUACCGCGAGAGCGGCGAGGCGGGAGUGGAGGGAAGCAGGCUGUGCAGCAUCCUCAAACUGCAGCUUCGCUCUCCGAGCCUCGAAACUGCCGUCAGCCAAAUCGUACUACGCAUGCUUGCAGAAGUCGACUUGCAAAAUUUCCACUUGAAAAGGGAUUGAGGAAGAUCAGGGCGAAAUGGGCACCUAGCUCUGGUUGGGAACAGCAGUGACUCCGGGUGCAUGGUAUCUCUAUGUCUUUCAAGUGUCCUCGUCACCCUAACCAUGGUCAACACCAAGCCCUGGUCAGCCACCAGCCACGCUGAGCCACAGAACCAGGCUGCGAUGUGCAACAGUGCCCCUAAGAGGCGCAGACUCGAGGGCGUGUGUGACAACUGACAGCUACAUGGCGCAGAUGUGGCUGGGCAAGUCUUGUCUGGACAGACAUCCCCUAGCCUCUGCCUGGAAACAAAGUGGGCGAGCAGGCUCACAGGAAACCUGAGUGCUACCUGCCCAGGUCCCCUAACUCUAUGCCUGGAGCAGGCAGGUGGCACGCUUCUUUCUGGUUUACUCAACUUCCAAUAUGACUAACAAAGAAAAUGCCAGAACCCCCUUAGACAGCAACAUAAAGGUAGAUGUCAUCUUCAGGAAAAGUCCAUGUGUCUGAAAUGGUUCUCUUUUGAAUGCAUUUGUAAAGAUGUGAAAUCUUAUUUACUACAUACUGUGUGUGCAUGUGUGUGCAUAUAUAUUCACACAUACAUAUAUACACACACACACAUACAUAUUACUUUUUAAAAGUCUGUUAGACAAAUCAGGACUGAAAUAUGCCAAAAAGACUAAUGCUAUGGCAUUUUCUUAAACUUUAUUUUAAACUUCAUAUCUUUUAAUUAUUGGUAUCUUUACUAACGGCUACGGCAUUGGUCACUUACACAUAGUUAAGCCUUAAUUUUCCUCAGAGACUUCAAAAAGGAAAAGACACAAAAAACUAAAAGAAAUAAAAAAUACAUCUGUAGCUUUUAAAAAUUUCUAUAGCACUGGUCACUUACACAUAUUUCAGCCUUGAUUUUCCUCAAAGACACAGAAAAUGAAAGGAAGGAAACAGAAACAAAUGGGGAAAUUGGGUCAAAAAAGAGAAUAAAGCAGGGAAGAAAAGAUAAGGA
rnacentral:lncRNA from 1 species